UACGGAGGGUGCAAGCGUUAAUCGGAAUUACUGGGCGUAAAGCGCACGCAGGUGGCUGAGUCAGUCGAUUGUGAAAGCCCUGGGCUUAACCUGGGAAUUGCAGUCGAUACUACUCAGCUAGAGUAUGGGAGAGGGUAGUGGAAUUCCCGGUGUAGCGGUGAAAUGCGUAGAUAUCGGGAGGAACAUCAGUGGCGAAGGCGGCUACCUGGCCCAAUACUUACACUCAGGUGCGACAGCGUGGGGAGCAAACAGG
rnacentral:rRNA from 1 species